rnacentral:rRNA from 1 species
AUUGAACGCUGGCGGCAGGCUUAACACAUGCAAGUCGAGCGGAGAUGAGGUGCUUGCACCUUAUCUUAGCGGCGGACGGGUGAGUAAUGCUUAGGAAUCUGCCUAUUAGUGGGGGACAACAUUCCGAAAGGAAUGCUAAUACCGCAUACGCCCUACGGGGGAAAGCAGGGGAUCUUCGGACCUUGCGCUGAUAGAUGAGCCUAAGUCGGAUUAGCUAGUUGGUGGGGUAAAGGCCUACCAAGGCGACGAUCUGUAGCGGGUCUGAGAGGAUGAUCCGCCACACUGGGACUGAGACACGGCCCAGACUCCUACGGGAGGCAGCAGUGGGGAAUAUUGGACAAUGGGGGGAACCCUGAUCCAGCCAUGCCGCGUGUGUGAAGAAGGCCUUUUGGUUGUAAAGCACUUUAAGCGAGGAGGAGGCUACUGGUAUUAAUACUACCGGAUAGUGGACGUUACUCGCAGAAUAAGCACCGGCUAACUCUGUGCCAGCAGCCGCGGUAAAAC